UGCUUUUCUAAAAAGAGAAAAGAAAAAGUUCUUUUUACUCCCUUGUUAGGUCUGGAAUACAGCUAACCUGCUUUAGCGCAGAAGACAGAACUAAGGAGCCGUUCUUUGCAGAGAUGAAUUAACUUUGAGUGUUUCUAAAUGUGUUUAGUUUUUGAUGUGGCUUGCACAUUUUCAAUAUGAAGUCCAUAUAGACCAUGGUGAGCUAAACACUUUUUUAACUGCAUUUUGCUGUUAGUGCCUAAAAUUCCAGUACCUUUCUGCCAAAACAAACAAAGAUGAAUAUAUGUGGGAAGACUCCAUUUCACUUCAGAUACAAUUCUUAACUACUGAGUAAGUUUUCCAUUGUUGCGUAUACUUGUAAUACUAGUAAUGGGCAGCAGAUGAGCGUUUGGUAUGAAUUCUGCUCAGAUCAGUUCUCAUAAGAAACGAAGUGCUGUUUAACAUAACUAUUGGGCUAAAGGGCUUCAUGAAUUAGGUGGUGCUAUCAUUAAAAGGUGACAGCUGCUCAAGGCAAAGAAAAGAGCACACUUGGCAUCCUUUUAGUCUUGGCAGGAAAAACAAAGCUUGAAUAGGCAAAGAACUAAAUUACUGUCGUUACCAGAAGUGGUUCUUCCAGAACAAGAGUAAAGAAACCUUGGCAGGAUUCGCUGGAGAAUCCUGAACCAUGGAUUCCCAUGCCAUAUCUGCGCUUCGCAUAAAUAGACAUGUUUCAACUGUUAAGAGAUUGAACAACCUUCACAAGAGCUAGAUGAAUGUCAUUAUUAAAAGUAGGGUAUGGAGCUGCAUUGUAUGAGCCUUUUCCCAUUUUUCAUCACAAGGUUUUCCAAAGCAAGUAUUACACUUGUAAGUUUAUUCUUUACAGAUAAAUGUUACCUGAUUUUACUUUUCCUUACAUGUGUACUGCUUUGACUCCCACCCUUUGCUGUAAAAAUUCCUUGGAUCCUGUAUGUGUGGUACCUCUAACACCAACCUACAACUUGUUUCCGGUGGCUUUUAUCUCUGUUGCUUCAUAGAGAAUACAAAUGGUGUUAUUCUCGCCGUGGAACUUGUGUGUGACUGGGAGUGACUCAUUCAUAAAUCUGGAAUGGUCAGACCAUUUAGUCAUGUAGUUCUUUUUAUGGUGUGGCAAGGGGAUCUUGACGGUAAAGGAGACAGGAACAUUUGCCAUAGUACUUUGCUUUGCAGUGAAAUGAAAAUUCCGUUCUUCUGCAGGAAAUGAUAGACAAAAUUUACAACAUGCGUUUUCUGUGUCAGAUUAGUAUCUGUAGAAAACGUAGUGUUGAAAUGGGAUGUGUAAGUCAAAUCCUUAUUUUUUUCUGCUUUGCAUUCUAAAUAUAUUAUGCAUAUUUUGUAAGUAAAAAUUGACUUGGGGUUUAUAGUGGCUCUUGUUACAGACUGAAAAUGAACACACUUUCAAAUACAUGUUAAUACAAUAUUUUAAGCAAAACUAUAGUAAGCCUUCACAAAUACAGCUGUGACCUAACUCAAAUAAUUAGAACUGAAAUGGUUUAUGUAAUAACAAGUUACAUGUACUAUUAAGACAUCUCUUUUGUUUGUUAUGGUACAUAUAGUAAGUUAAGCAGCAGCAAAGCUGAUCAUGCCUUAAUUUGUUUAAGCAUUGUAGUUUACUUGAAGGACUAUAGAUGGGGAUGUAAAGUGUUAAAGAUCAGCAUAUGGUACAUGUGACCUCAUCAGUGUGAUGUUUUUGUCUGGGUGGUGUUUGUCAGUACCAGUCAUGGGCACUGUCAGGCUGAAGUGUGAUUCUGCUGUUACUGGUUGAAGCAGCUGGAGUCAACUGCAUUAUACUUUGAACAAGAAAAUAAAGAAUAACGAAGUGG